rnacentral:misc_RNA from 1 species
AAUGGGUUUCCGGAUAUGCAGAUUACUGAUCCUGCAAUGAGAGAAUCUGUUGCUAAGGUUCUCAAUGGGCCUCAACCUGAUUUGUCAAAUAGACUUCGAUCCAUUUUUGAGGAAAAGAAUUGGGGUGGAAUUGUAUCUAAACUGUGGUCUAAUGUUCGUUAUGUUAAGUGUGUUACAACUGGAAGCAUGAAGCAUUAUUAUUCCAAACUCAAGUACUAUGCGGGAGAGGUUAUAAUUUUAGGUGGAGAUUACUUUGCAUCAGAAUGUCCUGUGGGUAUUAACCUGGAUACUAAACAACCUCCAGAGGC